rnacentral:lncRNA from 1 species
CAAAUUCAGAUGAUCCCCCAUGUUGAUCUUAUUGGUAGAGUAUAUUUCUGGGCCGAUUUGAUUUACAUACACCAAGAAGAAAAUGGCAUCAUCUCUUGUGAAAAGAAUAGACCCCGAUCAAAACAAAAAAGAUUAUCAUAGAAUUGUCUAACUCACAUGCAAUUACUUUGAGUUGAGGAUUGACAUUGCAAAAUUAGAGUUUUUAACCUUCCCACGUAUCACUUAUUUGGAUGGAGGGAAUGUGGCACACUUUAGAGAAAUCCUCUCCUUCUCUUCUGUCUAUCACUUGA